UUUGAGGUUGGUAGACAGUUUUU
rnacentral:miRNA from 1 species